GUGGGGUGGUGGUAAUUAGGGUUAUUUAUUUACUGUCACCGAGUUACUGCUCAACUGCCAGACUGUCACCUAACAUUGCCCCCAACACUCUUCCCCUCCCCGAGAGUCCUGCUUCCUCGAGUACACAGAGUCUCUAGGAAAGUGGUUGAUUUUUUUUUUUCUUUUGACCUGGUCGGUUGGGUUUCAUUAAUUCCCCGGAGUACCCUUCACACGUGCGCUCCUAUCUGGUAAAUUUAAAUAUUCUUUUUUGCCCACAUAAUAUUCAGCACUAUCGAAUCCGGCCUCCUCGCUGCCCUGAGCAGAUCCCCAACCCUUGCAAAUCAGAUUCUGUGUUUCAGAGAGCCGUCUGGGGGAUCUUAAGGGUUUUUUUUUUUUUUUUCUUUUUUUCCCGUCUUUCAACUAAUUUCCUUUAGAAUUCUCCAAACAAGUACACGCCUGCACCAAACUGACACUCGGGGAACUUCCAGUAGGCAAUUUGGGGCCUUGUUUUGGUUGCAAAUGAGGUGGGGCAGACGCCGCGUUCCUUUCCCCGGAGCUGUGCUGCGAAUGGCUCCGAGUUUGCAGGCACCCAGGACGGAAGUGGAGCGCCCCAAGCAGACACUUCCUUUCUCCUGGUUUCAUGGGAAUGAGAAGGUCCCCACUGAGGGCCCGCAUGAAUCUGGGCACGACAGGAAAACAAGGAGAUGAGGCAUCUUUCCAGGUGGUAACAAAUCAGGCUGGCCGUGCUGCUUCCUUUGGGUGAGAGAGGCGGAUGUCGGAAUGCAGACAUGUCCUCCAGGUGUCCUCUCCCGGAACCAACUUUCUUCGACUUUGGUUUUGAACUUCAAGAAAAGGACAGCCCAGGAUAGAUACGGACGUAGAUGCAGGGGAGUCCCCAGGGGGGACCCUGUUUCAUCCGUGGAAAAUGCAAGUGGGGCCGCUACAAGUCCCCGGCGACUGAACGCCCACACCAGCUGCAGAAUCGACGAGGCCGUCCCUUCCUGGAGAUGCAGAUCACGGAGGUGGCUCCCCUCCCAUCCUGUCAGCUCCUGAGCUGGAUGAAGGACACCCAGACAGGUGCGGGCGGCCCGGCCAGACAGCACUGCGUGGAUUUCGGGACGGCGGAGGAUCGAGGGACUCAGAUGCGGCGAGCAGUGAGGCCGUCAGGCAAGACGGACAGCCUUGCGCCAGUUAAGGAUUCAACGGUGUUCGUACGAUGGAUGUCCCCCCCUCCAGCUCCGAUAAGCACCCCGGGGGCAGCACAGGGCCGUCCGUAA
rnacentral:lncRNA from 1 species